rnacentral:rRNA from 1 species
GACGAACGCUGGCGGCGUGCCUAAUACAUGCAAGUCGAACGCAGUGGGGACGGGUGAGUACACGUGGGUAACCUCCCAUCAGAGGGGAUAACACUUGGAAACAGGUGCUAAACCGAUACUGAUGGAUGAACCCGCGGUGCAUUAGAUAGUUGGUGAGGUAACGGCUCACAAAGGCCACGAGGCAUAGACGUCCUGUGAGUGUGAUCGGCCACACUGGGACUGAGACACGGCCCAGACUCCUACGGGAUGCAGCAGUAGGGAAUCUGCGGCAAUGGACGAAAGUCUGACCGAGCAACGCCGCGUGAGUGAAGAAGUUUUUCGGAUCGUAAACCUCUGUUGUUAGAGAAGCGGUAUCUAACCAGAAAGCCACGGCUAACUACGUGCCAGCAGCCGCGGUAAUUC